GAGUACAUAGAUAAUCAUGGGAAUUACGCUUGUCAAUGAACUUAUUAAAGAAUAUGGUUUGGAUGUUGUGCAAUCGUAUAUGGGUUACAUACAGCAAAAUGCAGAAUUAGCAGUCAGAGACAUGCUGAAGCAAAUUGGCCAAUCUACUUUACAAAAAAGUAGUACUACUUUUCUCACUGCUUUUGAUCAUAUGGAUGACGGAACUGUGAUUAAUCUGAAAAUUGAAAUUAAUAUUGACGAGGGAAGUGCUGUUUUUGAUUUUACUGGCACUGGUUAUGAAGUGUGCGGAAACUGUAAUACACCACGUGCCGUCACACUGUCAGCUAUUAUUUAUUGCUUGCGAUGUAUGGUUGGCCAUGAUGUUCCUCUUAAUCAAGGUUGCUUAGCUCCUGUUAAAGUACUAAUACCCAAAGGUUGUAUUCUAUGCCCAUCUGACACUGCUGCAGUUGUUGGUGGUAAUGUUUUAACAUCACAGAGAGUUGUAGAUGUUAUAUUUAAAGCUUUUCAAACAUGUGCAGCAUCUCAAGGUUGUAUGAAUAAUAUCACAUUUGGAGAUGAAACUGUAGGCUAUUAUGAAACUGUUGCAGGAGGAGCAGGAGCUGGUCCUCACUGGCAUGGAAGAAGUGGGGUUCAUACUCAUAUGACUAACACUAGAAUAACUGAUCCUGAGAUACUGGAGAGAAGAUAUCCUGUGAUACUGGAGAGUUUUCAUUUAAAUCCUGGAACUGGAGGAUGUGGGAAGUACAAAGGUGGUGAUGGUGUUCUGAGAAAAAUUAUGUUUCGUAAAGCUUUCACUUUAUCGGUUCUUACAGAAAGAAGGGUCUUUGCUCCAUAUGGAUUAAAAGGCGGGGAAGAUGGAAAAAAAGGAUUAAAUCUUGUUAUAAGGCAUGAUGGCUGUAUUAUUAAUUUAGGAGCAAAAAAUUCAGUGGAUGUUUAUGCAGGAGAUGCCUUGUUGCUUCAAACCCCUGGAGGUGGUGGUUAUGGUUAUGCUGAAGAUGAAGCUUAAAAUGCAAUCCUAAGUUUUUGAUUUUAUUUGAUUCAAAUAUUCCUGAAAAGAACUGAUGUAAAAAAUAUCCACCUGCAACUAACUGAUAAGAUUGCUAUACUAUGGUAGUUUGACAUAAGUCCUGGCAGCAUGGGGGUUUUCAAGGUUCUUCCCAUGUGUAGCAUGAAUUUUUUGCAAAUUCACCUUAAAAGUCCUCCAAGAAAGCAUCUUGUCCUAAAGACGGACACUCAUUUGAUGUAAAAAUGAAACAGACACAAGGAAGAAUUUUAUCGAUAAAUGAGCUAACAGAUAUCAUAUAAAAAGUAUGAUCUAAUUCACUAUGAAUCUUGUUUUGUACAUAGAAUUCUGGCAGUCCAAAAAGGAUGAGACUUUGACUGACAGGAUGAAUACAUCUCCUGUAAAAUGUCCUAUAAAUGUGAUAACCUUCAAUAUUUUCAAGUUUAACAUUAUUUAAAUGUACUUUCUUCUAAAGAUCGCAGGCUAAAAAUUCUACUCUUCAUUCCUUUUACCUUCUUCAACGAGUGAAGAUUGUAAACAGUGUCCAAGGCGAAAAAAGUUUGUAAAGAAAAGAAAAUCUUGAAAAAAAUCUCUGGAGAAAUUUAUGCAGCUUCUUAGAAGUCUUUUUGCUGUUUGUUCUGUGUGUGGAAGACACUGUCUGACUGCUUGUUCUUGGAGGAGGAGAAAAAAAAAAAAGAAACAAAACAGAGAAAUGAUGGUGUAUCCACCAUUAACUAUAUGUUAUAUUGAGCAGAAUGGAGUUGAUGGCCCCUUCCAUCUUUACUUUGAAUGCAGCAAAGUCUGUCACCAGUUGUCUUAAUUGCUCGUCUAUCACUGCUCCCAUCUGCACUCAGUCACUCACUCUUGUCACCUCUGACGUCAAAAACUGUUGCGUGCAUACGUGUUCACAAUAGAUUGAAUAAACACAAAAU